rnacentral:misc_RNA from 1 species
UUUCCGUAGGUGAACCUGCGGAAGGAUCAUUAUUGUAUAACCAGGGAGAGAGGCCCGUCGCUGAGCCGGAAGGUCAUGCACGCCCGAGUUCGCUCACACACAUCCAUCUCACACCUAUGUGCACCACCGCGUGGGUCACCCUAUAGCUUUUUCGGUGGGGCGCUUACCUUUUCACUCAACCAUUGUAUGUAGUGUAGGUUGUAUUUUUUGUUUUUGCGAUAACGCAAUCUAUACAACUUUUAACAACGGAUCUCUUGGCUCUC